UACAGAGGGGGCAAGCGUUGUUCGGAAUUACUGGGCGUAAAGGGCGCGUAGGCGGCCCGCUAAGUCGAACGUGAAAUCCCCGAGCUCAACUCGGGAACUGCGUCCGAUACUGGCGGGCUUGAAUCCGGGAGAGGGAUGCGGAAUUCCAGGUGUAGCGGUGAAAUGCGUAGAUAUCUGGAGGAACACCGGUGGCGAAGGCGGCAUCCUGGACCGGCAUUGACGCUGAGGAGCGAAAGCGUGGGGAGCAAACAGG
rnacentral:rRNA from 1 species